CGACACUGAUGAGGCGAGCCAGAUUUCUUCAGGCAGGUCGUCCCAGGAUCGAGGAGUCCUCACAGCAAACAUUCAGUCGUCUUUAAGUGUGAGCUGGGAACAGUGAACAGAGUUUCUACCAGAGCCAAAUGUCAUCGACUCCUCACUGAAGUCGUCCACCAGUCCAACCACUGGAAUCCAGCUGCUGCUCUCUAACUGGUCCACACAGCAGCUCAGACCUGACACAUUCACUGUAAACACACUGGUUUAUAUUCUGUUUGUUCUCCUCAUGAAGGAAACCUCACACAAGCACUGAGGCCAGAAAGUUCAAAUGGAGAGUUAUUAUUAUUUUCUUUUAUAAAGAAGCUGGAAAAAUUUAACUUUCUUAAUUUAGUUUUAAAUUUUUAUAUAAAAAAGAAAAAUUUUCUUCAUCAGGCCUUUCAGAAUAAAAGCAUGAGCAAUACGUAAUUUAUACAUAAACAAUAAUAAAUGUUAUGUAACUAAAUGUAGCUGUAAUCCAUGUUUUCAUGUCUUCAGUAACUUUGCUCUUAUUUAUGUUAUUUCUAAGUGUGCUGUCGUCUCCACAGCAGUGAUCUGGUUUCUCUGCAGGUUCAAUAAACUUUGGUCUCACUUGA